rnacentral:rRNA from 1 species
GACGUAGGGCGCGAGCGUUGUCCGGAUUUAUUGGGCGUAAAGAGCUCGUAGGCGACUUGUCGCGUCGUCCGUGAAAACCUGGGGCUCAACCCCAGGCUUGCGGUCGAUACGGGCAGGCUCGAGUUCGGUAGGGGAGACUGGAAUUCCUGGUGUAGCGGUGAAAUGCGCAGAUAUCAGGAGGAACACCGGUGGCGAAGGCGGGUCUCUGGGCCGAUACUGACGCUGAGGAGCGAAAGCGUGGGGAGCGAACAGG